GGCUCGUGCGGCAGCGACUCCUGGGAAGUGUCGUGCAGAGCCGUAAAAGCGGCGUGAUGGCCGGGGUGGGGGGGCGUUCGGCCCGUGGGGCAGGGACUUCUGGGAAGUGCCGCGCAGAGCCGUAAAAGCAGCUGGUGAAGGAGAGAGACUCUAGGCUCGUGAGGCAGGGGCAGGGAAACGCGCGGUUUAAGAGCUGCUGGAUCCACAAGCUUCAUUCUGACGGCGCUUCUCCACGCUGGUAGGGGCGGUUCUUCCUGAAAGCAGCAGCCAAGCCCAGUCUGCGGCGUCCCCAGCACGGGCAGAACCAGCUUUUAAGUGGCAGCUGCGGGUCUCCAAAUCCCACCCUAGAACCUCACAGCAUGCGCGCUGUUCAUGAACACUACGGACGGUUUUAUACGGAAAUGUCCACUGUAGGAACGACUGGGAAGUACACAGAACAGCGCUCUGGCUCAGUUCCUGGCAGGGAUUAGGUCAUCCCGCAUUUGACUUGGCCUCGCUGGCCUUCACCAGCGGACAGCAUUCUGAUCGGAGCACUUGUGUAGGUAAAAAUGGACUCUGAACAACAUUAAGACACAGCCUUUGGGGGAAGAUACUACAUCACUGAACUGAUCCUUCCUCGAUCCCAGGAAGCACUGAGUGUAGCACGUACAACAGAAACACUGUACGAACAAGAACAUUCUCCAAAUUUAAGUUCAGAUUUUGCUACCAUCAGACAUAAAGGUUAUAAAAUUAGACUUAUCACCAAAUUACCUGCAGGGCAGCGUUGUCAGAACUCAGUUCCGGUUCCAACUCCGUCAGUUCCACGUGGAACAUGUAGAAUAUGAAACCAUACAGCGCCGGGCCCAGGCCGUUACACAGCCCUCUUAUUCCAGUUAUGAUCCCCUGGGCAACGCCUGCGUCAGAACGAAGAGAAGGGAGCCAGUCUUCUCAUAAGAGUAUCUCACGAUUAGGGACUUCGCCCAUCAUCGUUUCAUUUGGUGCACAAAUGUGUUACUGGUUUUACUAUGUCCUCUAAUGUCCUAACUCUCUGCCCUAAGAUCUAUAUGGAGAUGAAAUGACUGUGAUGUUUGUGAAAUCUCUUUUGGGGCUGAAUUCCCCCCAUAACAGCUAGAUCCUUCCUAUAAAUGCGGAAUAAUAAAUAAAAAAAAACUUUAAUAUUCUCCAUUUAUAGGCAAUUUCCACUUUUCUGUAGAAUGAGAUUUUUCCUCCUUUACUCAUCUAACAGUCCUUUUACAGCAAAAAUCUGCCCUUCGUCUCCUGGAGCCCUGUGUGUGAGUCCACAGCAGUCCUAAAGUUGUGUACUCCCAGCACGUUCACACAGACUCUGCUGCUCACGGUGACCUGCACUGAAAAAUCCCAGAAGUGCCAACUUCUAGAUUAUCUCUGGUUUCUAAUGUAGCAGAUAAAAUAGUAGCUAGAAUCAUGAAAAUGGAUGUUUCCGUAAGUCAAACUGUUCAAAUAUGAUUCAACUUAGUAUGUUCCAGUAAUGUUGUACACGGACAUUUAGGAACAUCUGCAUUAAAACAUAUACGCAUAAUAACAGCCAAAGAGAAUUCCUGUCAUGAAAGACCAGAUGGUGCCUGUCACACGUGACGGCAGUGCCCAUCCUCCCCAGCGGGCUGGCUUCUGCUGACGUAACACGCCCCAAGGACACAGCCAAGGGAGUUCGCAAAGGGUGUCACAUAGAUUCUAUAGUCUUCAAGUGACACUUUAAACAUGGGUACGAGUAAGAUGGCUAAUUUUUGAUGUGGAAAAGUAGUGCAAUGAAUUAAUCUGUCAAUCUAGUUCUUUAUUAAAACUUUUUAAAGGGCUCUAAUGCAUUUAAAAGGUUUUCCUUAUAAAAUUUACUACUUCCUGACUACUUAGGUGAACCAUUAACAACAGAUGGAGAAGGAAAGGAUUAAUUCUGGCAGCAGGAACUGCCUGAUAGAAGCCAGAGGUUCUAGAAGGAUGAAGAGUCCAGAUGGUAGAGUGCUAUUCUCCACAUGGUUGUCUCCAUUUUAAUUGUGCUUCUCACUGUGCAUUUAACAGUAAGUACACCUAUUUACCCCCUCAAAAAAUCAUUUCCUAAUUUAAGCUAAUGAACUUUGAUUUUGAAUUUAAAGAAAUGUUGGUGAUUAUGGUGAUUAAAUAAAGAACUCCUUGCUUUACUGUC